rnacentral:rRNA from 1 species
GAUGAACGCUGGCGGCGUGCCUAAUACAUGCAAGUCGAGCGAACAGACGAGGAGCUUGCUCCUCUGACGUUAGCGGCGGACGGGUGAGUAACACGUGGAUAACCUACCUAUAAGACUGGGAUAACUUCGGGAAACCGGAGCUAAUACCGGAUAAUAUAUUGAACCGCAUGGUUCAAUAGUGAAAGACGGUUUUGCUGUCACUUAUAGAUGGAUCCGCGCCGCAUUAGCUAGUUGGUAAGGUAACGGCUUACCAAGGCAACGAUGCGUAGCCGACCUGAGAGGGAGAUUGGCUACCUGGGAAGAGAGCCAGGGCCCAGACUCUUAGGGGAGGACGCGGUAGGGACUCUUCCGCAAUGGGGGAAUGCGGAACGGUGCACCGCGGCGGGAAGGCUGAAGGUCUUAGGCUCGUAAAACUCUGUUAUCAGGAAAGAACAAAAGUUUAAGUAACCAGGCUCAUAUUGACGGUACCGAAUCAGAAAGCCCCGGCUAACUCCGUG